CUUUGGGCCCAGCCAGCCUCAAACUGCAAUCAUCCUUCCUAAGCCUCCUGCAUAGCUUGGAUUACAGGGGUAACAACCACAACUGGCUUGCUGAGAUGCUGUAGAGGGUUCACAAUUUUUGUUUAUGCUGGACUCAAAUUGCCAUCCUCUACAGCUCUAUUUGCCAAGUAGCUAGGGUUAUAACUCACUGGACUUUUGAGGACAAAUGUUCAAAUUCUUUCAGAACUUGUCUUUUUAUACUUUUUACACUCCUCUUAAAUGUUAUAGUUAGUGAGGGAAAGUUAGAAUCCCCUUACAUACUAGUCCAUUUUUGACAGCUAGACUUUUAUAGCAUGCCGGCCCUAGGUUCCAUCCCCAGCACUGCAAGGGAGAAAGGGGUAGGUUCUUUCAUCACAAUCAUAUUCUCUGGGAAUAUUUUCACUUCUUGUCUUAUAACUUUCUUUCUACUAAAACAACAGUAAAGCAAGGAAAGGUGAAGAAUAAAAGACAAGGGUUUGAUGCCCAAACUUGGUAAAAAGCUAAAGAUGUUACUACAUAAAGAAUUAUUCCAUAACAUUAAUUUACAAUAUUUCUUCCAGUUACUGUCUCAUCUUUACACUUGAUGCAGAAUUCCAGGAAGAAUGACCCGAUUUCUUUCCCUCUGAAAACUCCACUUCAUUCCAGGUUCUCACUUGCAAGCCUACAGCAUCAGAAACUGAAGAGCCCAGCUUUGAAAAGGGCGAUCAAAAGCAUGUUCUCAAGGUUACACUAGGCUUUGGCUUUAAAAGAAGUGAAGGAAGUGCAGCCCAAAUGUCAGAGCAUCCCUGAAAGUUACCAAGAGGGGACAAGAGCAAACAAGAUGAGCAAAAAGAGAAAAAAAAAAAAAACCCAGGAAAUCUGAAGGG